rnacentral:rRNA from 2 species
GGGUUGUGAGGUUAAGCGACUAAGCGUACACGGUGGAUGCCCUGGCAGUCAGAGGCGAUGAAGGGCGUGCUAAUCUGCGAUAAGCGCCGGUAAGGUGAUAUGAACCGUUAUAACCGGCGAUACCCGAAUGGGGAAACCCAGUGUGACUCGUCACACUAUCAUUAACUGAAUCCAUAGGUUAAUGAGGCGAACCGGGGGAACUGAAACAUCUAAGUACCCCGAGGAAAAGAAAUCAACCGAGAUUCCCCCAGUAGCGGCGAGCGAACGGGGAGGAGCCCAGAGCCUGAAUCAGCAUGUGUGUUAGUGGAAGCGUCUGGAAAGGCGCGCGAUACAGGGUGACAGCCCCGUACACAAAAGCGCAUGUGCUGUGAGCUCGAUGAGUAGGGCGGGACACGUGGUAUCCUGUCUGAAUAUGGGGGGACCAUCCUCCAAGGCUAAAUACUCCUGACUGACCGAUAGUGAACCAGUACCGUGAGGGAAAGGCGAAAAGAACCCCGGCGAGGGGAGUGAAAAAGAACCUGAAACCGUGUACGUACAAGCAGUGGGAGCCCCACCACCAAAGCAUUCUCUGGUGUUGAAGGCCCUGCAAAGCAGCAUCGCGGUGGCGGAGCGUCGUUUGCGACGCCCAACACACAAAACAAGCGGUGAAUGCUUUGGGGUGGGGUGACUGCGUACCUUUUGUAUAAUGGGUCAGCGACUUAUAUUCUGUAGCAAGGUUAACCGAAUAGGGGAGCCGGAGGGAAACCGAGUCUUAAUUGGGCGUUAAGUUGCAGGGUAUAGACCCGAAACCCGGUGAUCUAGCCAUGGGCAGGUUGAAGGUUGGGUAACACUAACUGGAGGACCGAACCGACUAAUGUUGAAAAAUUAGCGGAUGACCUGUGGCUGGGGGUGAAAGGCCAA